rnacentral:rRNA from 1 species
GACGAACGCUGGCGGCGUGCUUAACACAUGCGAGUCGAACGGAAAGGCCCUGCUUUUGUGGGGUGCUCGAGUGGCGAACGGGUGAGUAACACGUGAGUAACCUGCCCUUGACUUUGGGAUAACUUCAGGAAACUGGGGCUAAUACCGGAUAGGAGCUCCUGCUGCAUGGUGGGGGUUGGAAAGUUUCGGCGGUUGGGGAUGGACUCGCGGCUUAUCAGCUUGUUGGUGGGGUAGUGGUUUACCAAGGCUUUGACGGGUAGCCGGCCUGAGAGGGUGACCGGCCACAUUGGGACUGAGAUACGGCCCAGACUCCUACGGGAGGCAGCAGUGGGGAAUAUUGCACAAUGGGCGGAAGCCUGAUGCAGCAACGCCGCGUGCGGGAUGACGGCCUUCGGGUUGUAAACCGCUUUCGCCUGUGACGAAGCGUGAGUGACGGUAAUGGGUAAAGAAGCACCGGCUAACUACGUG